AGUCGAGGGGCAGCAUUUCAGUUUGCUUGCAAACUGGAGAUGGCGACCGGCGCACGGGUGAGUAACACGUAUCCAACCUGCCGAUAACUCGGGGAUAGCCUUUCGAAAGAAAGAUUAAUACCCGAUGGCAUAAUAAAACCGCAUGGUUUUUUUAUUAAAGAAUUUCGGUUAUCGAUGGGGAUGCGUUCCAUUAGGCAGUUGGUGAGGUAACGGCUCACCAAACCUUCGAUGGAUAGGGGUUCUGAGAGGAAGGUCCCCCACAUUGGAACUGAGACACGGUCCAAACUCCUACGGGAGGCAGCAGUGAGGAAUAUUGGUCAAUGGGCGCAGGCCUGAACCAGCCAAGUAGCGUGAAGGAUGACUGCCCUAUGGGUUGUAAACUUCUUUUAUAUGGGAAUAAAGUUUUCCACGUGUGGAAUUUUGUAUGUACCAUAUGAAUAAGGAUCGGCUAACUCCGUGCCAGCAGCCGCGGUAAUACGGAGGAUCCGAGCGUUAUCCGGAUUUAUUGGGUUUAAAGGGAGCGUAGGUGGACAGUUAAGUCAGUUGUGAAAGUUUGCGGCUCAACCGUAAAAUUGCAGUUGAUACUGGCUGUCUUGAGUACAGUAGAGGUGGGCGGAAUUCGUGGUGUAGCGGUGAAAUGCUUAGAUAUCACGAAGAACUCCGAUUGCGAAGGCAGCUCACUGGACUGCAACUGACACUGAUGCUCGAAAGUGUGGGUAUCAAACAGGAUUAGAUACCCUGGUAGUCCACACAGUAAACGAUGAAUACUCGCUGUUUGCGAUAUACAGUAAGCGGCCAAGCGAAAGCAUUAAGUAUUCCACCUGGGGAGUACGCCGGCAACGGUGAAACUCAAAGGAAUUGACGGGGGCCCGCACAAGCGGAGGAACAUGUGGUUUAAUUCGAUGAUACGCGAGGAACCUUACCCGGGCUUAAAUUGCAUUUGAAUAUAUUGGAAACAGUAUAGCCGUAAGGCAAAUGUGAAGGUGCUGCAUGGUUGUCGUCAGCUCGUGCCGUGAGGUGUCGGCUUAAGUGCCAUAACGAGCGCAACCCUUAUCUUUAGUUACUAACAGGUCAUGCUGAGGACUCUAGAGAGACUGCCGUCGUAAGAUGUGAGGAAGGUGGGGAUGACGUCAAAUCAGCACGGCCCUUACGUCCGGGGCUACACACGUGUUACAAUGGGGGGUACAGAAGGCAGCUACCUGGUGACAGGAUGCUAAUCCCAAAAGCCUCUCUCAGUUCGGAUCGAAGUCUGCAACCCGACUUCGUGAAGCUGGAUUCGCUAGUAAUCGCGCAUCAGCCAUGGCGCGGUGAAUACGUUCCCGGGCCUUGUACACACCGCCCGUCAAGCCAUGAAAGCCGGGGGUACCUGAAGUACGUAACCGCAAGGAG
rnacentral:rRNA from 1 species